GGCAACCUGCCCAAAAGAGGGGGAUAACACUUGGAAACAGGUGCUAAUACCGCAUAACCAUAGUUACCGCAUGGUAACUAUGUAAAAGGUGGCUAUGCUACCGCUUUUGGAUGGGCCCGCGGCGCAUUAGCUAGUUGGUGGGGUAAAGGCUUACCAAGGCAAUGAUGCGUAGCCGAACUGAGAGGUUGAUCGGCCACAUUGGGACUGAGACACGGCCCAAACUCCUACGGGAGGCAGCAGUAGGGAAUCUUCCACAAUGGGCGAAAGCCUGAUGGAGCAACGCCGCGUGGGUGAAGAAGGUCUUCGGAUCGUAAAACCCUGUUGUUAGAGAAGAAAGUGCGUGAGAGUAACUGUUCACGUUUCGACGGUAUCUAACCAGAAAGCCACGGCUAACUACGUGCCAGCAGCCGCGGUAAUACGUAGGUGGCAAGCGUUAUCCGGAUUUAUUGGGCGUAAAGGGAACGCAGGCGGUCUUUUAAGUCUGAUGUGAAAGCCUUCGGCUUAACCGGAGUAGUGCAUUGGAAACUGGGAGACUUGAGUGCAGAAGAGGAGAGUGGAACUCCAUGUGUAGCGGUGAAAUGCGUAGAUAUAUGGAAGAACACCAGUGGCGAAAGCGGCUCUCUGGUCUGUAACUGACGCUGAGGUUCGAAAGCGUGGGUAGCAAACAGGAUUAGAUACCCUGGUAGUCCACGCCGUAAACGAUGAAUGC
rnacentral:rRNA from 1 species